rnacentral:rRNA from 1 species
UGGGGAAUCUUCCGCAAUGGACGAAAGUCUGACGGAGCAACGCCGCGUGAGUGAAGAAGGUUUUCGGAUCGUAAAACUCUGUCUUUUGGGGCGAACGUGAGUAUGGUGAACAAUCAUAGUCAGUGACGGUACCAAAGGAGGAAGCCACGGCUAACUACGUGCCAGCAGCCGCGGUAAUACGUAGGUGGCAAGCGUUGUCCGGAAUUAUUGGGCGUAAAGAGCGCGUAGGCGGGAUAGUCAGUCUGUUGUAAAAGUGCGGGGCUCAACCCCGUGAUGGCAAUGGAAACAGCUAUUCUUGAGUGCAGGAGAGGAAAGUGGAAUUCCCAGUGUAGCGGUGAAAUGCGUAGAUAUUGGGAGGAACACCAGUGGCGAAGGCGACUUUCUGGACUGUGUCUGACGCUGAGGCGCGAAAGCCAGGGGAGCGAACGGGAUUAGAUACCCCGGUAGUCCUGGCCGUAAACGAUGGGUACUAGGUGUGGGGGGUAUCGACCCCUUCCGUGCCGGAGUUAACGCAAUAAGUACCCCGCCUGGGGAGUACGGUCGCAAGACUGAAACUUAAAUGAAUU